rnacentral:rRNA from 1 species
UACGUAGGGUGCAAGCGUUAAUCGGAAUUACUGGGCGUAAAGCGCGCGCAGGCGGAUGCACGCGUCCCGCGUGAAAUCGCCCGGCUCAACCGGGCGGGGUCGCGGGAUACGGUGCGUCUGGAGCACGGGAGGGGGCAGUGGAAUUCCCGGUGUAGUGGUGGAAUGCGUAGAGAUCGGGAGGAACACCAGUGGCGAAGGCGACUGCCUGGACCGUGGCUGACGCUGAGGCGCGAAAGCGUGGGGAGCGAUCCGG